rnacentral:rRNA from 1 species
GACGAACGCUGGCGGCGUGCCUAAUACAUGCAAGUCGAGCGAAUGGAUUAAGAGCUUGCUCUUAUGAAGUUAGCGGCGGACGGGUGAGUAACACGUGGGUAACCUGCCCAUAAGACUGGGAUAACUCCGGGAAACCGGGGCUAAUACCGGAUAACAUUUUGAACCGCAUGGUUCGAAAUUGAAAGGCGGCUUCGGCUGUCACUUAUGGAUGGACCCGCGUCGCAUUAGCUAGUUGGUGAGGUAACGGACCACCAAGGCGACGAUGGGUAUCCGGCCUGAGAGGGUGUACGGACACAUUGGGACUGAGAUACGGCCCAGACUCCUACGGGAGGCAGCAGUAGGGAAUUUUGCGCAAUGGAGGAAACUCUGAUGCAGCAACGCCAUGUGUGGGAUGAAGCAUUUCGGUGUGUAAACCACUGUCAGCAGGGAAUAAAUGGUCGCUUCGGCGGCAGUUGAAUGUACCUGCAAAGGAAGCCCCGGCUAACUUCGUGCCAGCAGCCGCCGUAA